GGGGAAUAUUGGACAAUGGGCGAAAGCCUGAUCCAGCCAUGCCGCGUGUGUGAAGAAGGUCUUCGGAUUGUAAAGCACUUUAAGUUGGGAGGAAGGGUUGUAGAUUAAUACUCUGCAAUUUUGACGUUACCGACAGAAUAAGCACCGGCUAACUUCGUGCCAGCAGCCGCGGUAAUACGUAGGUGGCAAGCGUUGUCCGGAAUUAUUGGGCGUAAAGCGCGCGCAGGUGGUUUCUUAAGUCUGAUGUGAAAGCCCACGGCUUAACCGUGGAGGGUGAUUGGAAACUGGGAGACUUGAGUGCAGAAGAGGAAAGUGGAAUUCCAAGUGUAGCGGUGAAAUGCGUAGAGAUUUGGAGGAACACCAGUGGCGAAGGCGACUUUCUGGUCUGCAACUGACGCUGAGGCGCGAAAGCAUGGGGAGCAAACA
rnacentral:rRNA from 1 species